rnacentral:rRNA from 1 species
GAUGAACGCUGGCGGCGUGCCUAAUACAUGCAAGUCGAGCGAACAGAUGAGGAGCUUGCUCCUCUGACGUUAGCGGCGGACGGGUGAGUAACACGUGGAUAACCUACCUAUAAGACUGGGAUAACUUCGGGAAACCGGAGCUAAUACCGGAUAAUAUAUUGAACCGCAUGGUUCAAUAGUGAAAGACGGUUUUGCUGUCACUUAUAGAUGGAUCCGCGCCGCAUUAGCUAGUUGGUAAGGUAACGGCUUACCAAGGCAACGAUGCGUAGCCGAGCUGAGAGGGUGAUCGGCCACACUGGAACUGAGACACGGUCCAGACUCCUACGGGAGGCAGCAGUAGGGAAUCUUCCGCAAUGGGCGAAAGCCUGACGGAGCAACGCCGCGUGAGUGAUGAAGGUCUUCGGAUCGUAAAACUCUUUUAUUAGGGAAGAACAAAUGUGUAAGUAACUAUGCACGUCUUGACGGUACCUAAUCAGAAAGCCACGGCUAACUACGUG